rnacentral:lncRNA from 1 species
CCACCGUUUACACCCUGGGUGUGGCUGAUUAUAAGAUAGGCCAGGUCAUUCUGAACUAGUAACCAGGCACCACUCUGGAGCUGAGUGGAGAAAGGCAUCCCAGGCGGCUUUCCCAGGGCCACCACAAGGACAGUCAUCUAACUUGCCCCCAAGUGAUUUGGGCCAACCCAUGGCCACUGCAGAAGUGACUGACAGCGUGUUGUAGAAAUCCCACCACACCAAAAGCGGGGGCGGAAGAGUUCCCCACUCCCUGAUAGUGGGCUGCUGGCUAGAGAAGGCUGUGGCCCUGACAGCCUGACAUUCUGCUGCCCCCAAAGCAUGGGGGCAAGACACUGUCCCCUGAGCCUGUGACCUGCUGCAUCCUCACCUCCUGGGUGGGGGUCCAAGCCACGUUCCCUCUCUGAAGAUAACAACAAUUGCCCACAGCCUGGACCGCAUGUUUGCAGUGGGUCAUGGAGUUUCUGAACAGCAUGGCCUAGUGGACAGAAUCGGAACACAAGGUGUCUUGAGGUGAAGUCUGUGGAGCCUCCACUAUGUGUGCAGGAGGUGAGCACUGAGGAGGCCCCGCUGUAGUAAGAAGGAAAAAAAAACAAUCAGUAUGGACAAGACUUUCAUGACUUGCCCUGGACCAAAGAUUAAAAACAACCUGGACAGAGGUCUUUGUUGAAGCCAGCCUGAACAAUGGCAGAAAUGUCCUUUCUAAUGACAUCACUAUGAAGAGCACCACCUGUGGAGCCACGAGGGAAGGAAGCCGGGGACUCAACCAUGAGGCUGGGAGGUCAGGGAAGUCUCCCAGGGACAGACAGGCUCUCCCUGAGGAAGACUGUCAAGGAUCCACCACCUGUGCAGAAGCCAGAAAAAGUAAGUCGCAGUUCCGGUCCCGAUAUUGUCACAUCCCAAGGAGCCCACUGACCUUCACCAAGAGUGCCAUGAAGGCUGCGCCCCAUGACCUCCACCUGCCGAGGCAGAGAAGAGGGUGACAGAGGGGCAGAGUGAAGCCUGAGAAGGGUGGGGACUCACAGUGAUGUCCCCAGCACGCCCUUCCCACUCCCUGCACCCCUCAAAAUGAGGCUUCUCACCAAUUCACAGCCUGGGGUGGCCAGUUUCAGCAACUGUGAUGAUCUCUCCUGAAUAAAUGGGGCUCGCCUCUCAAUAUUCCACAGAGCAUGUAUAAGAUGCUAAGGACGGAGGCGCUCUGGAAAAGGAGCCCCGUGUUUUAGGGACCUGGCCCCGUCCCCAGGCUCCGGAUGCAGAUGUGGCUCCAUUUGGCCUCUCUGGAUCCCUGUCUCCUGGCAGGGACGAGGGGCUGGCUGGGGUUAGCUUCUAGGGAUGCGGGAGUCCUGGCAGGCACCGAACUGGGAGAGACACCCAGCCCAGUGAACACAGGGGCCAGGAGUCUGGAAGCAGGCUUCUGGGCCAGGGACCCACCCCAGGGGCCAUAGGCUGUGGUGAGGGCAGUAGCUGACGCAGGAGGCCCUGGGCCUGGGAUGGGGUGGGAACAGGCCUCCCUGGCCAAGGCUGGCCUCUGCGGUGCUCCAGAGUGGGCUCAGGGAGGCUGCAUCUGCAACCAGGUGGAUGCAGACAGUCAUCUGCAAAUGCUGGGACUGUUGCACAGCCCCCAGAGCAGGCCUCUUUCAACAGGGCUGGCCGCGGAAGAAACAAAGGGACAGAGACGAAGUCGUUGGCAUUUAGGGGAAAAACCAUGUCUGCAAACCAGGAGGAGUUUGCAUGUUUCUCACACAAAAGAUUCUCCCCUGUGGUGUGGGCUCCUCACUAGUCCUUUCAUUCCCCAGAUACACAUCUGGGAGUGGUCAGCACUGUGCCUGGUGCUGAGGCAACGACACCAUGGCCUUGCAC